UACAGGCUUAACACAUGCAAGUCGAGGGGCAGCAUGGUCUUAGCUUGCUAAGGCCGAUGGCGACCGGCGCACGGGUGAGUAACACGUAUCCAACCUGCCGUCUACUCUUGGACAGCCUUCUGAAAGGAAGAUUAAUACAAGAUGGCAUCAUGAGUCCGCAUGUUCACAUGAUUAAAGGUAUUCCGGUAGACGAUGGGGAUGCGUUCCAUUAGAUAGUAGGCGGGGUAACGGCCCACCUAGUCUUCGAUGGAUAGGGGUUCUGAGAGGAAGGUCCCCCACAUUGGAACUGAGACACGGUCCAAACUCCUACGGGAGGCAGCAGUGAGGAAUAUUGGUCAAUGGGCGCAGGCCUGAACCAGCCAAGUAGCGUGAAGGAUGACUGCCCUAUGGGUUGUAAACUUCUUUUAUAAAGGAAUAAAGUCGGGUAUGGAUACCCGUUUGCAUGUACUUUAUGAAUAAGGAUCGGCUAACUCCGUGCCAGCAGCCGCGGUAAUACGGAGGAUCCGAGCGUUAUCCGGAUUUAUUGGGUUUAAAGGGAGCGUAGAUGGAUGUUUAAGUCAGUUGUGAAAGUUUGCGGCUCAACCGUAAAAUUGCAGUUGAUACUGGAUAUCUUGAGUGCAGUUGAGGCAGGCGGAAUUCGUGGUGUAGCGGUGAAAUGCUUAGAUAUCACGAAGAACUCCGAUUGCGAAGGCAGCCUGCUAAGCUGCAACUGACAUUGAGGCUCGAAAGUGUGGGUAUCAAACAGGAUUAGAUACCCUGGUAGUCCACACGGUAAACGAUGAAUACUCGCUGUUUGCGAUAUACUGCAAGCGGCCAAGCGAAAGCGUUAAGUAUUCCACCUGGGGAGUACGCCGGCAACGGUGAAACUCAAAGGAAUUGACGGGGGCCCGCACAAGCGGAGGAACAUGUGGUUUAAUUCGAUGAUACGCGAGGAACCUUACCCGGGCUUAAAUUGCAGAUGAAUUACGGUGAAAGCCGUAAGCCGCAAGGCAUCUGUGAAGGUGCUGCAUGGUUGUCGUCAGCUCGUGCCGUGAGGUGUCGGCUUAAGUGCCAUAACGAGCGCAACCCUUGUUGUCAGUUACUAACAGGUUCCGCUGAGGACUCUGACAAGACUGCCAUCGUAAGAUGUGAGGAAGGUGGGGAUGACGUCAAAUCAGCACGGCCCUUACGUCCGGGGCUACACACGUGUUACAAUGGGGGGUACAGAGGGCCGCUACCACGCGAGUGGAUGCCAAUCCCAAAAACCUCUCUCAGUUCGGACUGGAGUCUGCAACCCGACUCCACGAAGCUGGAUUCGCUAGUAAUCGCGCAUCAGCCACGGCGCGGUGAAUACGUUCCCGGGCCUUGUACACACCGCCCGUCAAGCCAUGGGAGCCGGGGGUACCUGAAGUGCGUAACCGCGAGGAGCGCCCUAGGGUAAAACUGGUGACUGGGGCUAAGUCAU
rnacentral:rRNA from 1 species